rnacentral:lncRNA from 1 species
CUCUCUGGCCUCCAAGGUGAACCCAACUCCCCAGCGCGCCCCGGGUUCCCGGGUCGGGCCGGCUUCAGGCGGUGGGGAGCGGGAUCCCGGGCCCCGGGCGGGCGGGAGGGACGGGACGCGGUGCAGUGUUGUUUUUUCCCCCGCCAAUAUUGCACUCGUCCCGGCCUCCGGCCCCCCCGGCCCCCCGGCCUCCCCGCUACCCCUAGCGGGGCAGCCCCCGCCCUCCUGGCUCUCCAUCCCGGCGGAUCUUUGAUAGACUGGAGUGUCGCCGCUGCCACCGUGAGUUGGUGAAAGUCCCGAACUUUGUCUCCCCACCCAGAGGACAACUGGCCAGGAAAUCUGCCUGUUUCUUGUCUCACCCUCUAGUCCACACUCUGCCUAACACUACGCCCUACCUCACAUUCCUAUUGACAUCUGCUGCAGAUCACACCCUUGUGAUGGACAAACUGCUCAGUACAGUCCCACCCACCCAGCCUCCUUGUCCUGGGCACGAGGUUUUUGCCUCCCUGAUUUGGAGUAUUUGGCCCUUACUAGAGAGCUGCCAGAUGAGGGACAUUUCCUUCACCUGGAGAAGGAUGGGGAGGAGUCAGCACUUGACAUCUGCCACCCUACCCCAGAAUCAGUGCCACCCUUCGCCAGCCCACCCAAACCUGGUCUCGUAUAUCAUCCCGCAGCUCCACCAGGAUCUGGUUGAAGAGGAACUCAGAGGCUCCUCCCGGCUCACCUGCAUCCUCAAAUACGCCUUCUGUCCAGUCCUAAUCUCCAGCCCAUCGACCUCCGCUGGAGGAAUGGGGGCCAGUGCUGGAAGGCCUGCAUGUUGGUCACCCAGUUUGCAGUCCACGUAGAGAUGUAGGGCAGGGCUGGGUCUGGAGGGACCUCGGAGUCGCAGGAGAACUGUGUGUGUGCGCCCAUCAGCCAGGCCCGCUUGCUGUAGGUUCACGGCGUGGACUUUGCCAUCCUCCCGCUGGUAUCGCACCAGUACUGCCCAGGAGGGGAGAUCAGUAUGGGCGCUAUCCCCCACCCCCUGCCUCCCAGCUGAGCCUUGGAUCAACUCUGCUAGAUACCACAUCUCUAGGGCCCCUAUCCCUAAUUCUACUAUGUGGCUCUCAACACCUUGUAUUUAAUAGGUACACAAUAAAUGUUUUUGAAAUUGC